AUGUCAAAGAUGAAUUCGAAAGGAGUAAAGGCAGAGUUUUGCUAUGCUGAGAGGGAUUGUAGACAACAAGGUGCAACAGCAUUGCAACAGGGGCAGCAACAUGACCAUUGCAGCAGGGGCAGCAGCAUGACCAUUGUGCAGCAAAACUUGGAUAAGGACAUAAGGGUUUUGGUGCAAGUUUGUGCAAGGAUUUGGAUCAAGGCAAAUUUGGACAUAAAGUUUGAGGCAUGA